CACGGAGUUAGCCGGUGCUUAUUCAUCAGGUACCGUCAAAUGAGCUGGAAAGCUCACAUUUCUUCCCGGAUAAAAGAAGUUUACAAUCCAGAGGACCUUCAUCCUUCACGCGGCAUGGCUGGUUCAGACUUGCGUCCAUUGACCAAUAUUCCUUACUGCUGCCUCCCGUAGGAGUCGGGCCCGUGUCUCAGUGCCCGUGUGACUGGUCGUGCUCUCACACCAGUUACUGAUCGUCGGCUUGGUGAGCCGUUACCACACCAACUACCUAAUCAGACGCACGCCCAUCUUUCAGUAAUAAAUCUUUAAUAGCUGAGUGAUGCCACUCUACUAUCCUAUGGGGUAUUAAUCCAAAUUUCUCUGGGCUAUCCCCGCUGAAAGGAAGGUUGCGUACGUGUUCCGCACCCGUUUGCCGGUCGCCGCCCGGUAUUGCUACCUGCGCUGCCCCUCGACUUGCAUGUAUUAAGCCUGCCGCUAGCGUUCAUCCUGAGCCAGGA
rnacentral:rRNA from 1 species